rnacentral:pre_miRNA from 1 species
UUUUAUGAAUGAGCAAAGAAAAUGAUUUCUUGAGAUAGAAUCUACUCUUAUUGAAGAUGCUAUGAA